UACAGAGGUCUCAAGCGUUGUUCGGAUUCAUUGGGCAUAAAGGGUGCGUAGGCGGUUGGAUAAGUCUUGUGUGAAAUCUUCGGGCUCAACUCGAAGUCUGCACGAGAAACUAUCUGGCUUGAGUGUGGGAGAGGUGAGUGGAAUUCCUGGUGUAGCGGUGAAUGCGUAGAUAUCAGGAGGAACACCUGUGGCGAAAGCGGCUCACUGGACCACAACUGACGCUGAGGCGCGAAAGCUAGGGGAGCAAACAGG
rnacentral:rRNA from 1 species